ensembl:snRNA U11 spliceosomal RNA
AAAACGGGCUUCUGUCAGGAGUGGCACACGUAGGGCAACUCGAUUGCUCUGUGUGCAGAAUUGACAUUAAGAGAUUUCAAAAGUCUGGUCUGAUUCCUUGGUGGCUGGUGGUUGUUGGUCCCCAAAACCAAC